UUAUACCACUUUGAAGCCCUCGUUGACCCACUGUGCUGUUCCAUUGUCAGUUUGUUGCAGCCUUGAGACUCGCUACCAACUUCCAACUUCAGUAUUAAACAAGAUCUCAAAGCGUUCGGUUCGAUACGAGUCGAGUUGCGUCGGUUGCGUGGGUAACUUCGUAAACAAAUGCUUACACACUGAGCAUCAGAUUAAAGAAUAUUCAUCGUUAAAGACGCGCCGCAGGCACAAGUGUCAAUGCUUUUUGUGUGAAUUUUGUGCAGAUACCAAAAAAAAUUGAAAAAAAAAAACAAUAAUAAUAAAAUAAAUAAAUAAAUAACAAAAACUACGGCAGACAACUGGUUUCGUCAAAAGUGAGUAACAAAAAUCUGUAGUAACAAAUACCAAAAAAAGCGAAUACUUAAACACAAAAAAGUGAUAAUGAUAAUGAUGAUCAGAAAAGCACAAGCAAAACCACAAGUAGGACUCCGAGCGGGGAGGAAUGGGAAGGGAGGGUAUCGCUGCCAAAGUGGGUGCUGAUUUCCGUCCGAACCACAAAACCCUUUGGUCACUUGCGUCAUUUGAUAUGCAGACCGCAAAGUCCGCGGAUCGGAUCGGAUCGGAAAAACAAUAGAAAAACUAAACUGGAAAUCCGAAACCGAAAAGUGUGUCACAUGCAAAUUACAUUUGAAAUACAUCGCUGGAAUUUGAUGCCCAUAAACGUAACAAUUACGG